rfam:Gossypium arboreum cultivar AKA8401 contig_7390_3, whole genome shotgun sequence.
AACCUAUAGUGAGGGCACCUUCUCAACAAAUCCUUGUAUCUCUCCUAUGCAUCGUAGAGUGUUUCUAAAUCCAUCUGCACGAAAGAAGUUAUAUCAUUAUGUAAUUU